CUCACAGACUAUUGACCCGUACACCACUAAUCCGCUGCCACCAACCAGGUCCUCCCUGGUAAAAUCACUUCAGUCUCAGUCAGGUUCUCAAGUAAAUAAAGAAGAGUGCAUUUUAUUUCAGACACAAACAAACUUUUACGGCACUCCAAACAUUGUUACUCUUUACUUUCUUAGUCUUAUUUCCCACUCUCUAUCUCUUCUACCUCUCCUCACUCAAGAACCCAUUGCCCUAACUGUCUCUCUAUUUCCAACUGCCUGCCAACUGCUUCUCCAACUGCCUUUCCCAACCAGCCAAACCACUAAAACCAAUCAACUACCCACCAACAACUCCCAACAACAACUAACUCAAACCUUGGGCUAAGCCCUUUUAUACACAGGUAGGCUCCGCUUUCUUAUUGGUCUAUAUUUUUAACCCUAUCUCUCCCCCCUGUUCAAACAUUUUCUAAACGAACAGGCAAACGCCACAUCUGUAAUGCAGGGAAAGGGCUUAAGAGCAUUCUCAACAACUCCGCAAAAUUCAAGUUCCAGAGUCCAUUUAGGCCAAGGGUGGUGAAAGCUUUUCAGCCUGAGGGUCUCAUUCUUGUAUUGGUAACCUCUUGAGGGCCAUAUUCUGGUAGUGCCCAAUGCUUUGGUUGUACAUUUUUGGAGAUGAUUAGAUGUGCGUGCUUGUGUGUGUGUGUGUGUGUAUAGCUAAGCCUUUCGUGGAAACUUAUUUUGCCAUUACGAAUCUACUAAGUUUCCCAGAACACAGUCUGAAAACUUCUGCCACAGGAACAGUAAGCACAAAGGUGAACAUGGAAGUCCUUUGUUAUAUAGUCUUAUGAGCCGCCAACAUGAAAGCUGGCUGGCUUCUUGGAUUGCUGUAUUCUUGGGGCUAAGCAUAUGUAGCUGAAGCGAGAGCUAGGAACUUUUUCUCUCAGUUCUGUCUCGCCUUUUCCAUUUUUGAACAAGCUGUCAUAAUAAGGGCAUGGUACAUGCUCAGCCUUAUGUUAACAAAUUUCUGGAGCUGAAAUACUAUUCCCUCAGGGUGGCCCGCAUGCCAGCAUUUGGCAUAUGCACAAAAAAAGCAAUCGAGGAAAGGAGGACAUUUCUGUGAUGUGGGCCUACAUUUCGAAAAGAACAUGACAGCAUUUCCUAUGAACACAAUAGAAUGACAUUUUUUCAAAAAAAGCAAAGGUAGUCCAACACAUUUUUCUGUUUUCACCCCUCUGCCUCGAACGCAGCAUCUUUUUAUUUAUUUAUUUUAAAACCCUGACAUGAUAAGUAUAAGAGCCCUCUAACUUCAGCUGUCUCAGUAAGGUUUUUAUUCUGAAAUCUUCUAUGAAAUUGUGACUUGCUUUGAGGCUAUUGAAUCUUAGCACGCUGUGCAUUGUAAGUGAAAUGUGCAUUUGGUUAUGUAUUUGGGCUGGCAUCAAGAGGUUGAUCCUUCAACAGGAAUAAUAAUUUAUUCAUUCGACAAAAUUUCUAUGCCACUAAGUUGUAAAUAAAAUCUCUAAGCAGUUUACAAAGAAGAUAAAACAUGCUUUAAAAUUGUCGAUGAAAAUCAAAGUUACAAGAAUUUUUAAAGAAAUCAAGACACAAAUAAAAUCCCUUAGUUAGAAAUAUACAGUAUAAGCUAAAAUUACAUAAAAUACACGACAACUUUAUGUUUGGCUAGCCUAAGGUUACCAGAUGUCCCCGUUUCCUGGGGACAGUCCUCGGAUUUACAAAUCAGUCCCCAUACAAAAUCCUAUCAUUCCUACUGAAGUUGAAAAGUGUCCCCAGAAUCAUUGAAAAAAAUCUGGUAAACUUAGGGUAGCCUUGCCAAAAAGCAGGCACCAAAAGGAAUACAGCGAAGAUGCCUGAGCAGGCAAUUCAAGAGUGUAGGAACUGCCACACUAAAAGACUGUUUCCUUACAAGGGCAGAAUGAACAUUUUAUGGGACUUGUCAAAACGUCAGUUUUUCAGACUGAAGUGGUCAAAUGGGCAUAUAUGGGGUAAGGUGAUCCUUCAAGCAAACUGGUUCCAGGCUGUUAAAGGCUUUUGACAAUGGUGAUGGUGAUGAUAUUAGCUGAAACAAAUUCAGAACAUUGAUUUAUUUUUAUUUUUACAUAAAGGCUGUACAGAUCUGAAUGUGUGUACAGUCUUCAUCUUCCGCUCAGGGAGAUGAAAGAUAAGGUGUUGCCUUACAGUGCACCAGACUGCCGAUAAUUAACAACAACAACAACAAUUUAUUUUUUGGGCGGCUUCCAAAAAAUGAAAACACAGUAAGACAUCAAACAUUAAAAACUUCCUGAUACAGGGCUGCCUUCAGAUGUCUUCCAAAAGUCAGAUAGUUGUUCAUUUCCUUGACAUCUGAUGGGAGGGCGUUCCACAGGUUGGGUGCCACUACCGAGAAGGCCUGGUUCCCUGUAGCUUCACGUUUCACUGUGUGGGAACCACCAGAAGACCCUCAGAGCUGGAUCUCAAUGUCCAGGCUGAACGAUGAGAUUGGUGAUGCUCCUGCAGGUAUAUAGGGCCAAGGGCAUUUAGGGCUUUAAAGGUCAGCACCGACACUGACUUAGACUCGGAAAUGUACUGGGAGCCAAUGUAGAUCCUUUAAGACUGGUGUCAUAUGGUCCUGGCAGCCACUCCCAGUCACCCAUCUGGCAGCUGCAUUCUGGAUUACUUGUAGUUUCUAAGUUACCUUCAAAGGUAGCCCCACUUAGAGCGCAUCUCAGUAGUCCAAUGACUACAUUGGCUGGCAUUUGCUCUCCAAAAUUGAACCUGUAACCUUCACUUUGCAAAACAGUAGCCCUAUUAGAAAAGCAGCAGUAAAAAGCUAGGUUUAAGUCCUCUUGCCUCUUAUCAACAAACAGCUGGCUGGGGUGCUUGCUGAUUGUUUGGCAUAGCUACAAACACAGACACAAUCCUGGUUGCUAGCCUGAGGCCCAUGGAAUAUAGAAUUUAUAGAGUCAGACCAAUGUUCCACCAAGCUGAGACUUUCUAUCUGAGUGGCAGUGACUUUCCAGAAUACCAUCCCCAGCUGGAGAGAUUACACUAGGGAUCUCCUGCAUGCACAGCAUAUAGUCCCCUCUUGUGUAGACAGGAUCUCCCACUAUCACUGUUGGAACUGGCCCUAGGGAAGCUCAGAACUAAGGGAUUUAUUUAAAAAAAUAAAAUAAAAUAAAUUCCCGAAGAAGUCUUUAUAGCACAGCUUCUUUGCCAAUGGUAAUAACGGCACUUCAAAAUGCUCGACAAGCACUACUGCAGUGAACCGUAGCAAAAGCUGUGAAAAACAGGUGAGCCUUUUGAUUUAUUAAUUUAUUUUAAUCCAUUUAUAUCCCACUUAAAAAAAAUUAAUUGGCUCCAAAGUGGCUAACAAAUCAAGAGCGGCCAUAACGAUAGGACAACAAUGGAAAUCAAUCACGCAUCUGCAUGCGUCAGCAUAAAACUGGCAAAACCAAUAUAAAAAGCGCAUAAAUCAGGCAUUGGAAAAAGUCUUCCAGAAAAGAAAAGUUUCCAAAGUCCGUCUAAAAAUGAAGUCAGAGGGUUUGGUGGAUUGCAGGAACCGGGGUGGGGCGCUCAGUUUGAGAGAAGAGCCACCCAGAUCAGGGACAGCCUGUGUUCAUGUGUGUGUAUUUGUGUAUAUGCCACUGGUCCCAUCACCUCCUGGCAAAUAGAAGGGGAAGAAAUGGAGGCAGUGAGAGAUUUUACUUUCUUGGGCUCCAUGAUAACUGCAGAUGGUGACAGCAGUCACGAAAUUAAAAGAUGCCUGCUUCUUGGGAGAAAAGCAAUGACAAACCUAGACAGCAUCUUAAAAAGCAGAGACAUCACCUUGCCAACAAAGGUCCGUAUAGUUAAAGCUAUGGUUUUCCCAGUAGUGAUGUAUGGACGUGAGAGCUGGACCAUAAAGAAGGCUGAUCGCCAAAGAACUGAUGCUUUUGAAUUAUGGUGCUGGAGGAGACUCUUGAGAGUCCCAUGGACUGCAAGAAGAUCAAACGCAUCCAUUCUUAAGGAAAUCAGCCCUGAGUACUCACUGGAAGGACAGAUCCUGAAGCUGAGGCUCCAAUACUUUGGCCACCUCAUGAGAAGAGAAGAUUCCCUGGAGAAGACCCUGAUGUUGGGAAAGAUGGAGGACACAAGGAGAAGGGGACGACAGAGCACGAGAUGGUUGGACAGUGUUCUCGAAGCUACCAGCAUGAGUUUAACCAAACUGCGGGAGGCAGUGGAAGACAGGAGUGCCUGGCGUGCUCUGGUCCAUGGGGUCACGAAGAGUCGGACACGACUAAAUGACUAAACAACAACAACAACAUAUGUGACUUCAGAAGCUGUGGGACAAUUUCAAACAAGAUGUGCUCUCCCAAGCCCACAUUCCCAGCAUGUUCACACUCCUGUCUCAGUGACAUCUAUGCAGGCUUGGUCAUGUUCACAGAAUGGAACAUGGCAGGAUCCCCAAGGCCGUGAUCCAGAAUUGCGUGCUGCAGAGACCUGGCUACUAUCUCCGUCUUAAGGAUGAUGGGAGUUGUAGUCCAACAACGUUUGCAUAUCACUACAUUGGCUAUCUCUGAAUGGGGGGGGGGAUAUUCUUUCAGCUUCAACUUCCCAGCUCACAGUCUUAGGCAGCACUCGAGCCUAUGCUAUAAAUAUAUGAUUAUUUUGUAUCGGGGGCAUCUGCGCAUCACAAACGGUAACACUAUUAUGUGAAAUGAGUUAUGUUAGAAGGUAAGUGUCCUGAUUUCUAAGACCGAACUUUAAGUACAAAGACACUUACAUUCAGAAUGGCAAACACUCUGGUUAACGCAGCAGCUCUCAUGUGUGACCAGAUUACUCCGAAGGGCACUUGAAAAUUGGUGCUUGUUAGUGGGACUCAAGCCUCCCAUACUAAAAAGAGAAACCAGAGGAAGAUCUCAGAAAGUGCAGCUCUGCCGAGAAUUAAUAAGAGACGGGGUGUUGUGGCCGAGUUUAUUGUGUUAACAAGGUGACCUUCACAAAAGCACAUCUAAUUGUUAAUUGCGGAGAGAAACCAUACACAUAUAUCCCCAUUGAAAUUAAUUACGUGGUCCCCCCUCGUCGCUUGAUAGUUCUGUGUCUUUGGCAUCUCCACAAAUAAUCAAUGAUACGAUCGGCUGAUAUGAAUAAGUUGUGUAGAGGUUUCCAAGAUUGUCACUUUCGUUAUCUUUCCUUAGGGUAGGGUAUUAGCUCCCCCCUUCCUACUGCAUAAUGAUUUAUUUAUUUUAAAAGAAAUGAUUAGAGGCAAGGAUCAGCAGAAUAAGAGUUGGGGGGAAAUAUAUCUGGGAAGACAGAUUGCAGAAUAAAAUAUUAUCUUCUCAUACAGGAGGGUUAGUCUUGGAGGAGUUGAAGAUGAUACAAUAUAGUGUGUGUGUGUGUGUGUGUGUGUGUGUGUGUGUGUGGAGGGAUGGGGUUAGUUUCAGGUCCGUCUCUAUCCUAUAAUAGGCUAUCUUAGGGUCCAGAUUAGGGGACACUAUUAAAGGGCAGCUGAUCCCCAGUUAUUUACUUUAUUAUCACAACUUUGCCACUAUGCGGGGAAGGUCUAUUUAGAUAUCCUGCCUCAGGUGCCAAAACUCAUUGGACCAUUUCCUAGUUAGCAGUGGACAUGUCUCUCUCCACCAGAAAUCAGUAGUUGCUUCAGACUUUACUUCUGAUUUGCUGAGUUCCUCCCGCUCCAGUUGGCACAGAGGUUUAAGGGUUAUGAAUCCACUAAAUCGAGACUGUGGACUCAUCAUGCCAGGGGUGGGGGCUGGAAUAACCUAGAUCUGCUGCUGGGUUCCACUUCUUUUCUGCCAAGUAAGACUUCAUGGAAUUGUCAUUUGAGGGUUUUAUUAGCCCUAGUCAUAUAUCCACCUCUUUGCUUAGACCAGCCUUUCUCAACCUGUGGGUCCCCAGAUGUUGUUGGACUACAACUCCCAUCACCCCUAGCUAGCAAGGCCAGAGCUCAGGGAUGAUGGGAGUUGUAGUCCAACAACAUCUGGGGACCCAUAGGUUGAGAACUGCUGGCUUAGACCAAACACAGGGGAUUAGGACCAUAUUAGAGCCAAAAUACAUUAGGCAUAAAUAGGGAAACUCUGGACUUUCAUUAUCUUUCACCAUUGGCCAUGCUGGAUGGAGAUGAUGGGAGUUGUAGUUCAACAACUACUGCAGGGCCACAGGUUUCCGAUUCAUUUUCCAUUACCAAACUUAAGCUUAAAUCUCCUCUACAUUGCUUCCCCUGCUGUUCGCUGUCCAAGGUGCUGAUUUACUAUGAUACUGAAUCAGGAGAGAAAGAUCAAGUGCUCAGAUGGUCCUUCACAGAAAGAAGCUCGCCUCUGAUGGGCCAUUCAAGGGGUAGCAACAAGUAGGAACCAAGGCUAACCAUCAAGGAUUCUGGAGUGACACGUUAUGGGCAAACACAGAUAACCAUUUGCCAAUGACUAACUUCCCACAAAAAGGUAUGGUUUUCCCAGUAGUGAUGUAUGGAAGUGAGAGCUGGACCACAAAGAAAGCUGAUUGCUGAAGAAUUGAUGCUUUUGAAUUAUGGUGCUGGAGGAGACUCUUGAGAGUCCCAUGGACUGCAAGAAGAUCAAACCUAUCCAUUCUGAAGGAAAUCAGCCCUGAGUGCUCACUGGAAGGACAGAUUCUGAAGCUGAGGCUCCAAUACUUUGGCCACCUCAUGAGAAGAGAAGACUCCCUGGAAAAGACCCUGAUGUUGGGAAAGAUUGAGGGCACAAGGAGAAGGGGACGACAGAGGACGAGAUGGUUGGACAGUGUUCUCGAAGCUACCAGCAUGAGUCUGACCAAACUGCGGGAGGCAAUGGAAGACAGGAGUGCCUGGCGUGCUCUGGUCCAUGGGGUUACGAAGAGUCAGACACGACUGAAUGACUAAACAACAACUUCCCACAGUGUGUGUUGUAGCAGUUGUUAGGCCACUUGCCUGUAAGUAGAGGAAUGAAUUCUGCCAUGUUUCAUUUACACUGGUCAGAAAUCGGGGUGAAGUAGUGGAGAGGUUAAAGAAAUAUGUUAAGGGAGGCAAGAGCAAGAUAUAACAGGUAUUAGGACUCUUGUGUGUGUGUGUGUGGUUUCAUAGGGCUGUCUGUUAUUAAAACUUCAGGUGUCAGUGGGAGAGAAGUAUACAAGGCGGAGGAAGCAACCAUUGUCCUAUGCUGGGACAAGAAGAGACUGUGAACAUCAGUUGAGAGUGAUGCACUGCUGAGCCCUUGGUUCAAGAGCACUCAGAAACCCUGGAUGUAGGAUAGCAGGAUAGAAUGCUCCCGAUGGAAACAGGUCUCCCUGUUUCAGGUUGUAAAUAUAGUCUCACUGCUGGCUAGACCAGCCUUUCCCCAACUGGUGCCCUCCAGGUUUCGCUAGACUACAACUACCAUCAGCCACACAGUCAAUUGCCAGGGAUGAUGGGAGUUGCAGUGCCCAUCAGUAGGGCAUGAGAGUAUAAAUGAUAAGUAACUGUCAGGCUUCGAGAAAUUCUAUCCCUCCCCUGGUGGCAGCAAGAAGCAGAGAAAAACAAAGAAGAGUUCUUACGAAUGAGUUUAUUCAAUCAUCACGGAGAGAGACAAAGGAAUGCAGUCUGUAUCCCAUUAAUGGCUGUGCUGGUCCCGAGGGUUAACCAUGCGGCGAGGUCCGAGUCCAAUCCGAGGUGGAGGGUGCGGUAUGGAGGCUGUCCGUCAAAGGUGGAGCUGGUCCAAGGCAGAGAGUCGGGUGAGGUCAGGAGCUCUGGCAGAAGAGCAGGUCAGGGUGCAGGCAGGAACAGGCUACCAACAAUGUUGCUCCCGCAACCAGGGACUGGGGCUGGCUGGCUUUUACCUGCCCUGAGGCAUAGGGAAGCCCCAGUCCUGGCCUGGAGGCGAGCACUCCUCCUGCGGGAACUUGGUUCCCUCUGCCUUUCUGCCCUGAGCCUCUGCGGCUCAGGAGAGGCUGGAGGGUUACCAGACCCAGAGGCAACCACAGCUUCCUCUGAUAGGGCUGAGAGUGGAGCACCUGCAGGCAAUGGGCCCUCCAUCACCUCAGGAGCCAGAGCAGACUCAGCUGAUGCCUGCACCUGAGGAUCCAGCACAGGUGAGGACCCUUCAGGCUCAUGCCCCAGCCCCAGCUCAGCUGGUUCUGGAGGCGGGGAAUCCUGUGCAGGCUGGGAUUCCUCAGGUUCAGCCUCCGAGUCCGAAUCCCAGGCCAUCACAAUGGUGUUGCUCCAACUGAGCUCCUCCCCCUCCCUUUCUAGCAACAGCACUUCCCCUUACGGUGGCCACCAGGGGCUAUUUGUCUCUGAGUCCUUUGCUCUUGCACUCUCAGUGAACGCCGAGUUCUGGGCGGGUGUGUGUGUGUCAGAAAUACUCUCCAGUGAUAACAUGUCAGCUGGCUGCUCUGACUCUGUCCCUGCCUUCUCUUCUCCCACACCUCCCAACUCUUCUGUUCUCCUGUCUCUGAGCUGUGACCUUCCUCAAACCACUGCUGUAAUUCAAUACUGCCUUCCUCUUCUCUGCAAGCUUCAGAAGGGGAGUGGGUGAUGUCCACCAUUUCUCCUCAAUCUCAUCUCCUUCAGUCCAGGCCUGAUAGUAACUUAGCAUAUAAAAGGUCACCUAUAUUCAUCAGGAGAAAAAAGAAAGCCUUCGUUUGUUAUUGUGAUGUACAUCAUUUCCAUUUCUCGUUCUGCAGCAGCAAACACUAUACAAGGUUUGAGACGGAGGGGAUGGAGCGAACUUCUAGCCCGUCCUCUAGACAUCAGCUGACAAAGUCAAGCCUUUUCUUCUCAUAUCCGUCAUAUUUGCACUUCCAGAAAUAGAAAUGACCCCCAUCACCAAAGCCUUGCUUGAACGCCUCUCUCCCCGACAACCAGCCUCUGUAAUGUAAUGCAAUCAUCUCUUACAACUGUUCUUCAACUUUCAAACAGCUUGAAGUAACAAUUUCACUUAGGUGGACAGUAUAUAUUAUCAAGUGCUCCUCUUGCUGUUUGUCUCAGUGUGAAUCUUCCGGUCUGAGGAGUGUGUAAAAUAGAGAACAGGGGAACAGAUGGGUCUUGCCAUAAAAAUGAAAAUCCUUUUUUAAACACACACACACACACACACACACACACACACCAAAAUCAUAGAAAUGAAAAGUUUCAUGAGAAUGUGGAACCAAAUCCUGUAUAGCUCAUGCUGAUAAUUCUCAUCCCUUCAUCCUGUGCAAAGUCCCACUGCUUUGUACAGCUCUUGCAAACCUGAGCGUGGAGAACAUAUAUGAGGAAGGCUUAGAGGAUCAUGCUGGCAUAGGAAGGGAUGCGAAGAGAAGAAGGAAAAAAGUCAACAAGGAGGCAACAGGAUCCUAUUUGCAAUUCAAAUCUGAUGCUGUGUUUGUAAUGUCGCAGCUACAGACAUCCUACAUUGGCAGGGAAUGAAAUCUCAUGAAAAUGCAAAUUCUUUUGACACAGUGAUAGUGCUGAGACCUACCUCUAUUGUAGGAAGGGAAAGAGAAUGCACAAUGCAAUAUCUCUGGUAUACAAAUACCAAAUGUCCCAUCCCUACUUGCCCCAGUAGAGCCAUCUAAUUUCAUACCCUGCUUCCUUAAAAGAAAAAAAGAAGUCCAGGUGCCAUUCUCUUCAUGGAAACAUAAUUGUCUGCCAUUAUUAUUAUUAUUAUUAUUAUUAUUAUUAUUAUUUCUGAAUUGUUUCCUCUAAGGCUUAUUGCAGUGAAUUGCAGUGCUAUAAAAUGUGGAUAAAACAAUGACAUUUCUAAAAUAAAUUUCAAAUCCAGUACAGAUACCACCUGGGAUGACAAGGCUUGUUUUAGUGCUAAUUGAUCCUGUUGCAUUAAUAAUAAUAAUAAUUUUUUAUUUAUACCCCACCCUUUCUGGUUCAAAAACUGGGCUCAGGGCAGCUAACAACAAAUUUAAAACACUUUAAAACAUUUAAUUAUAAAAGCAGCAUAAAAUACAGUAUAAAAACAUGAAUAACAAUAAAAUUCAAAAAUCAUAUUCAAAUUCAAAAGAUAACCCCCAGGGCUACCUGGCUGAAUUGGUCCUACUUAGGCCAGCGAGGAGGUCAGGGGAGAAUUAGCUGUGGGGUCUCAGAGUGGGUGAUCUUCAUAAAAAGGGAGGGGGAGGGAAGAGAAGGGAAAUAAAAGAUCAGGCUGAAUUCGAAUUAAAGGACAGGCGGAAUAGCUCUGUCUUAUAGGAGGAGGUUAAAUCUUGAAGGGCCCUAGUCUCAUAGGACAGAGCAUUCCGCCAGGUCAGAGCCAUCACUGAAAAGGCCCUGGCCCUGGUGGAGGAUAGUCUGACUUCCUUAGGGCCCGGGACCUCUAAACUAUGGUUAUUCACGGACCUUAAGGUCCUCUGUGGAGCAUACCAGGAGAGGCGGUUCCAUAGAUACAAGGGCCCUAAGCCACAAAGGGCUUUAAAGGUCAAGACCAGAACCUGACCCAUUAGGGGAAGCUCCUUUGUUAAAUCCCUCCCAUAGAGCUUGAAAACAAAAUGCCAAUGCCUUGUUUCAUGCCUGUUUGGUCCUUGGCCAAACAUCCACUUCAACCAGGCUGCUAUAAUGGCUCCAUGGGUGUCUUAAGACCUUGGUCAGGGUUGGAGAACCUUCAACCCUCCAGUUGUUGCUGAAUCUCAGCUCGCAUCACCCUUGUCCGUUUCUCAUGCUGCCUAUGGCUGAUGGGAACUGCAGGUUCCCUGUCCUUAUCCAGAUGUGGGUUUUAGCAGGCUGUCCUUUUAACCCACCCCCAUUUUUAUCUGUUGACUUUUGUUAUAUUAUUUGCUCUGUAAUGGUACAUUUCUGUUUUUUGUCUCAUGGAGUGCUCUGCGAAGAAAAGCAAAAUACAUAUUUAUAUAAAAAAAAUACAUAGGUGAAUGUUGCUGCUGGGAACCCAUAGCAGAGCUUAUACCCAGUGGUGCUGAUGGUCCGAUUUGCAUUCAGGUCUUCCAGAGUUGUCUGUUAUGCCGACUGGAUUGAAAGGUCACUUCUGAGCAAAUGAAAGACAUUGUCUUUUUAAAAACCAGCAUCCUCUGUUCUCAAGGCCUUGAGUCCCUGAAGAUAUUCAUACUGAAUGCAACACUUCCUGAAUAAUAAAUAGCUGUGCUGUUCCCAGAGGGGGUGGGGAGGGGGGGAGAAACCAAAUGGCAAAAAAUUGGACUGUUUCCAUGUUUUUCUCUUCUCUCUGUGAUUCCAGCUGAGAGUUCUUUAAAAGAUGCAGCGUACUUUCUGUCUCCCUGCUCCAUUCUCCUAAAUCUAAUACUUGCCAUUUCAGGGCCACUGCUUUCUUCUGUCUACAGGACCUGUGAAGAACCUUUGACCCUCCAGAUGUUGCUGAACUGCCCCAACCAAUGGCCAGGGAAGGUGGGUAUAAUAGUUUAGCAACAUCUGGAGGGCCAAAGGUUCCCUACACCUGCUCUACAAGGUGCAUGUUUGUUAUCAAAUGCAAUGGAAAAUUCCCUGUUGACCAAGAAUAAGGUGGUGCCUGUCAUCCUAUCAGCAUUGGGUCCUAUAAGGAACAGUCUUUAUCAGAGGGGCAGCUUGAAGAACAUAAGAGCAGCACUCCUAGAUCAAGUCAAAGGCUCAUUUACUCCAAUGUUGCAUCCUCACAGUGGCCACCUAGAUGCCUCUUAUGUUCUCAUGAUUAAAUUUUAUUGAGGAACCAACUGCCAAGAACUCAAUUAUACUUGUACAAUUUAAGGGUGAUGCAGAAGAAUGAUGAAGUAAAAACCCCCUGAUCUUUGGCUUCUAGAUGAAAUAUUUAAUUUUAAGAACACAACAUGUAUUUCUCCACAUAGUUAACAGGAACUUCAGCUGACCUCGGUGACUAAUGUCCUGACUUGUAUUGCACCACACUCCAUCCUGAGGAAUGGCAGAGGUAUGGAGAGGGGCUCAGAGCAAAUCUAAGUGCUCUCUCCAAUUUUGAAACAGGACAGUAUGGUCCUUGGUGUCCAUCAUGGCUUUGUGCUGUUAUCCACCAGCUAUGUAUCUCUCCCAACAUCCUUGGUCCAGUUUUCCUGCUUAUGGCAAUGUUUCGAGCCAGUCCGUGGCAUUUGCUGGAACACACCAACUUUCCCUUUUCCCUUUUUAUUGCCAAGCUGUGAACAUUAGGGCAGUCAAUGUCUAAAAAUGAGCUAGCAGUACUUUGGACAUCUUCCUUAUACAUCCAUGACAUGCAGGCUCGGGUCAAGCUAUGGAUCUCACUAGGUUCUCAAUCUAUCAAAUUUUAUGCUCAUCCUCACGAUUGCAAAGUCCUUAUGCAAAUCAUCCUCUCAACUGGAUGCCUUGGUAAUAGUGGGUUGUAGCCACUGUUAGUUCCACUCAGAGUGGGACAACUCUGAAUGGAACGAAACAGGAUACAACCCACAGUCUGCUUUUCUCAUUAAGAAAGUUAUAGUCUCCUUUGUAGUUUCUUGAUAUUUACAAUACGGCAUCUAUUUAUCUUUUUAAAAGCAAACUCAAAACCAGUUUUGCUAAUGUAUUGUAUUUAUGGUAACAACUCACAAUGAAUGCAGAAUUGUACGUGUGUUCUCUCCUAAGGCGAACUAAAAUUAGAAAGAAAUAAACAUGCUCUCCUCUAAUUUCCAUUCAUCUCACUUUUCUGUGAGAAGGUCCUGGUGGGUUAUGUCCAGAAUACCUUUUCAUCACAUGAAGAAUACCUGCUUCAUGCUUUCAAUUCUUGCCACUCUUUAAAAGUUUUUGUUCCAAGAACUGUAAUUUAUUAUGUUUUAUUGUUGCAUGUAGCGGGAGCAGACUUUUGUUCUUCACACUAGGGGUAUGAAAAAUGAAGCAGGUGAUAUCAUGAACCCUAAAAAUAGAGGAUGUGACUGGAUGCAGACAGGCCUUAAUUUAGACAGUGUGGCUUAGACUGAACUAUGACAUGUAGAAAUAUGGGUGGGGUGAAUAGCCUGUGACCUGCCCACCUGCAGCAUCUUGCAGACAAACACCUGAAACUCAGAGUCCAUAGGUAGCAAUUACGGAUCAGAAGCAUGAGGGAUGAUAUCAUAUAACUCACCAGUCAGAUCUUCCUGCUCUUGCUGUCUCUUCUGAUUUUAUGAAACAAUAAUCUAACUAAAACUCAGCUGAAGCUACUGGCUGUUUUCUGAACACUUUCAGCAGUCCAAAAAACCACCUCCUUUCUCCAGCAUUUAUUUUUUGGGGGGAACAAUUCCAUUGUGAACAUGUUCACUUAGUAACCUCAAUGCUUCCCCCCUCCUUCUCUCAGCUGAUGUCAUGAUACAGACAUAUCUGAUUGGCUACUUGGUGUUAUGACAUCAUUCCAUUUGCUGUGUGAUUCCUUACUGGCAAGACCAACCACGUGACUGAGCUAGAAAGCAAGAGGAAAUGGUAUCUGUGGCGAAAUGUAAUUAAAUGUAAUUAAAGCAGCAACAUGACCCCAAUAGCAUGAAACAGGAUAAAAAUAUAAAAAUAUUAUUUAAUAUUACUAAGGCAAGCAAUACACAUAGAACCCCCUACACAAUAAAAAAAUCAGAAGCAGUACUUUUGUGUACCGGGUUGCUCAAUACAUGGUGACAUCAUCAUAAGUACAAUCUCUGCUGUUGUUGCUUUUGAACUGUAUUUUAAUGUUGCAGAUUUUUAAAUUUUUAAUACGUCAUAUGGCAUUGUGUUUCAAAAUUGUCAUAAGCUGCACGAGCACUAGAAAGGCGGGAAAUAAUGUUUUCACGUAAGUAAAACAGAUAAAGCCAUCAAGCGCUUUUUGGGAGGGCUGCAAACUGGACUCAAGGUAGCAAGGCUCUGAAGAGAAUAUAAUGGCAGCCAAUUCUGGGCUAAUCUGAUGAAAUCUCAGGUAAAACAUAACCCCCUAAAUGUUCCAAAGUGCCAAGCUACAGCAAAGGACAAGGGUGCCAACUCUAUGUGGCUAAGGUGUUUUAGGCCUCCCCAAUAUCCGUUGGGAAGGGACUGGGCCCCCUCAAUGUUGAGGGGGUGGAGGAGGCUAAGUGUGGAGCUGAGCACUAUGUGGCUUCUGUGGCUGGCUCCUCCUGAGCAUGAGAGAGGAGGAGCUCCACGCUCUGCCCCCUCCUGAUAAUGCGAUGUUGCGCAUGCUGGGCGCAUGACAUCACACACACACAAUGCGCAUUGCACACGAUAUCAUGCAUGCACAUCGUGCACCAGGCCCCCUCAAUCUUGGGUGCAACUUGUGCCUCUCGUAAAGGAUAAGGGCCUGCCUGGCCUUUGAAUUUGGUCUCCACUGGACUCAACGGCCAACUUGCUCAAACGUUCAUCACUGACUGAUUAAGAUGUUGUAAGCUUUGCAGAGACCUAGGAGAAAACCCAGACUGUGUACUGUGAGGAGAUAGUGCCGCAAAAGCAGAUGGGGAAGUAAGGAAGGACAGGGUGAACGGGGAAAACACUUUGUUUAUGUACUUCAACAGAUUUUAAGUGGCGUUGAAGAGGGAUAUGACAUAGAAUCAGUUAAAAUUAACCAUAAAAUGAGAAAAAGUAACUGAAAAUGCCUGUUGAAAUUUAAAAAGUCAGCAAUAAGUGCUGGAAUUUCAAGAGGGCAGGGGUCUGUCCAAUCUCAGCCAAGAGAGUUCCUCAGAAUUGGGCCACAAUCAGUGCCGGAUUUAUGUAUAAGCUAAACAAGCUAUAACUUAGGGCCCCACUCUCUUGGCCCGCCCCCAAAUAUACUUCUUAAUUGUAUUUCACUGUUAAUAUACUUCUUCUUAAAUGUAUUUCAGUUCAACAAUUACUUUGAUAAAAUACAGGUACAUAUUUUGUUAUGUGCAAAUGGCUUUAGAUACCUAUUAGGUCCAUAAAUUCCCAUAUAGCAUAUAUUCAACACAAAAAACAGCGACAAUUUGUUGUUGACAAAGGACAGCUGGACAUUUAAAGGGCCCCAUUACCUUCAGUAGCUUAGGGCCUCAUCAAACCUAAAUCCAGCCCUGGCUACAAUACUGAAUGAAUAGCUCCUGGUGGAUAUGAGUCAUACAUGAGACACGUGGGGGACCACUAACUAACAGCCAAUGCUACACAUGUGCAGAGGGCCUUGGGCGCAAUGGGACUCUCCUCUCCUCUCUUCUUCUCCCCAAGCACUCUCAAAAUCUGCUCCAGGGGGUCCUCCAACGCUCUGGAGCAAAUCUUAAGGGUGCAUGGGGGCCUGCAGAGGAGAGAAGGGGGAAGUUCUGUUGUGCAAGAGAAGUUCAAUUCGGUAGUGGAAAGGAUACAAUCUUGUGACUCUUCCAAACAUCUCAGUGAUUGGGCAGGGGUAUAAGGAAUCAGGACGUGGGUGGCGCUGUGGGUUAAACCACUGAGCUAGGACUUGCCGAUCAGAAGGUCGGCGGUUCGAAUCCCAUGACGGGGUGAGCUCCCAUUGCUCAGUGCCUGCUCCUGCCAACCUAGCAGUUCGAAAGCAUGUCAGAGUGCAAGUAGAUAAAUAGGUACUGCUCCGGCGGGAAGGUAAACAGUGUUUCCAUGCGCUGCUCUGGUUCGCCAGAAGCGGCUUAGUCAUGCUGGCCACAUGACCCGGAAGCUGUACACUGGCUCCCUCGGCCAAUAAAGCGAGAUGAGCGCUGCAACCCCAGAGUCGGCCACGACUGGACCUAAUGGUCAGGGGUCCCUUUACCCUUUACCUUAUAAGGAAUCAGGCAGCCAAGAUCUUGUAUCCAAGUUGUUAAGGCCCUUGUAAAUUAAUACAACACUCUUGAACUUGCCCAGGUUUCACAAACUGGCAUUGGCUGCCUCCCUCCCUCCCUCCCUCUAUAACUUUCACUCCACUUUGAUUUGAAAUGGCCCAAGUGUAACUCUCCAGAACUGGAUCUAAAACUGUUAAAGGGUGAUAGAGAAAAUGUGACAUCGCUGCAAUUGAACGGUGAUGAAAAGUACCGGGUGCUUUUUUAUCUCAUAUUUUUUGCUUUCAACAGUAAAGUACUCCUGUUGAUGUUGCCACAAACUGAAGACAAUUAUUCUUUAAUGCCAUGUAUUUGCUAGACCGGGACAGGAGAAGAAUUCAUAGCCUAUUUCACUCAAUUACUGCUCCCAGCAAUAUUCUUACCAGGAUAUUGCUUUGCAGCCACUAAAGCAAACCGAAAUAAGAUUGGGUUGUUUGCGAGGUGGAUGGUAAAGGGGAAAAAAUAGUUAUUAGGUGUGUGGGUGUGGGUAUAUAUAUAUAUAUAUAACCAAACAAACCUGUAAACAGACAACAUAAUGCUUUCUUUCUGAAAGGCUGCUUCACAAACUAGUUAAGCUAGAAUACUUGGGUUUUACUUGAUAGGUACUUCAUCAUAAAUGUUGGCUUUAGCGUUCUUGCCAUAAACAUUGACUCUGCUGCUUCUGUCUGUCAUAGUGCUUGUGAGAUCACAUUGGAAAGCUGGCAUCCUGUCAUGUUUUGUGACGUCUCUCUUGUGCAUGUCAUCUUAAGUGAACUCUGAGCAACUGGUGAACUACCCAGCUUUAAUUUAUUAGGACCCCUGUUUGUGCAGAAGAUUGUGGUAAGUCAAGAAUGGCUGGUGGUCUUUGUGGGUCAGGACAGUUAAAUAUAAUUGAUUUAAUUCACACAAUAAUGAAAAAUGUAUGUAUAUUAAUAAAGGUUUAAAAUGGAAAAUGGCUAAAUGUGUAUUGCUAACAUUGGGGGUUUUCCACAAUUGUUUUCCAAAGAACUCUGAGCGUCUAAAUGGGUUAAUGAUUACCUGUUGAUUGCUUUCUGUUACUCUAAACUGCGUGUAACUUUUGAUCACUUGACGAGGGUACUGAGUUACAAAUUCGCCAUCCUGAAAGGGUGGUGGCUGUCAGUCUUUCUCUGAACAUGACAGAGAACAGAAAGAUGUAAAUGAAGCACUCCUGAAGGGAGAGUAAACAGCCUAAGGCCAAUGGAAUCUGGAAUGCAGUCUGUGGGAAGAGGUGAUCCUCUGCUUCUAGGUCUGUUUGGAUUAUUUCAUAUUUUCUAAGAUGCUGAGCCUGUGCUGGGUAGCACAAGACAUUGUAUAGAUAUUUUGGUUGUAUCUUUGAUACUUACGUUUUGUUUUGAAAAGUUCUGCCGUCAAAAGUUUGAAUAAUAUUUUUAUGGGCCUGGACAAUGAAACGUCUCAACAGCAGUUAUUUAAAAUUACUUUCUUUUGAACCUAGACACUUAGAAAAAUCUGAAAAUCUUUAGUCAUUUGAAAACUAAGAAGUUAAUUUAAAAAACAAACAAACACUGAGGUGUACCUUUCAUGCGGUUAAUGAGUAUUGUUUUUCAAAAUUACAAAGAAAUUCCAUCUUAUUUUUAAAAAAUCUAAACUAAAACAAGUUUUCUUGGAUUUGCUGAAAACCUUUUCAGCACCUUUCUCAAUUCCUACUUUUUUCCAGUGCAGUUUUGCUGUGCAUACUCAGUAAGCAUAGCUCAUUGAUAGCUCACUGAGUAUUCAAUUUCAAAAGUUCUGAUUAUUUCUACUUUUAGUUAAGUAUUUUUAUUUAUUUACAGCCGUACCUUGGUUCUCAAAUGCCUUGGUGCUGGUACAUUUUGGCUCCUGAAGCCAAAUGUCCAACAUGACUUCCACUUGUAUGCAGUAAACUCCUGCAGCCAGUCAGAAGCUGCGCCUUGGUUUUCGAACAGUUUCGGGAGUCAAAUGGACUCCCAGAAUGGAUUAAGUCCAAGAACCAAAGAACCACUGUACUUGGCUAUGCUCUUGAUGGGGCUCCUAUCCUCCAGGAUUACCAGCACCAAGCUAAGCAUUACGUUUCAGAGGAACCAUGGGACCGUCAGGUUUAUUGAUUGCUAACCCCUGGGAUAUAGAACUGGUUCUUAAAAUGCUCAAUUUCAAGCUGGUUUAGGCUUGACCUGCGCUUACAGUGGAGUGAGGUGGUAGAGUUGAGGUGAAUCAGCAGUACCAUUUCAGAUUACAGGUGAAGAUCAAAAACGCUCUCUCUCCUGUGUUAAUUAAUUUUGUUCUUUCUGUUUUGCCAGGAAUUUUCAAUCUCAAGGUGCACUACAAAAUGGCACCUCCCACCUGUAUGGUAUUAGCCCUCUCUUCCCAUGUUAGCAUUCAUUCAUGUCAUUCUGCUGUAUGUGUAGACUUGAUCCCUAGCUCAACUUGAUUGUAGAUUGAACGCAUUUGCUGAUUUGAUGGGCUGCCUCCAACGAUGCUACUUGAGAACAUUUGUGCAAUGUUAGACUCAUUAAACUGCACAGAAGCAGCUUUUUAUGUAUUUCAAAACACAGAUGUGUUUUUUUAGAUUAAGAACAAAUUAAUCCCAUUUGUUCUUAAGUACCACAGAAACCCCUGGGUAACAAGCAAACAAAAGUCUACAUCUGCCACGAUUUACAUUAAUUUCCACUGCAGAGAUUGUACACAUUGGCUUCUUACUGUUAAGAAAACAAUACUCCCUUCUAAGAUGAAAAAUGCAAAUAAGAUUUUAUCAGCAUCACAUGCUGACAGUGCCUGUAACAUAUUUGCCUGAAAAGCUUCUAGAUCUCCAAUGAGACUAUUGCAGUUAAUCAUACAUUAAAAAUUCAAUGUCCAGCCAUAAAAAACAGCAGGGAAUAUAAAGUCUUUAUAAAUCCUUGUGGCUUUAAAUUGAAUGGUUAAUGUUAUAGAUUCUGAAAUCCAGUGGAGUGGAUGGGAAUGUGCCAUUUGAUUACAGCAGGCAGGGCUGACGAUAAGGAGCUACACAAACUCAGCUCCAGUCCAACAGAGGCCCUAGUCUUUUAGCUUUUUUUAAAAAAAUAAAGCACAUUUUUACCCUGGCUUUUGACACUUGAGGUGCAUGUGUUUAGGACCCAGCUAAUGUUUAUGGUUGUAAAUGGUUUCAAAUGGCUUUUAAGACUGUAACCUGCUCUGGAACCUUAAGACGAAGUCUGGGUAAUCCAUAAAUAAAUAGUCAAUGAGUCCUGUCCUUCUCAUCAGAAUUUGGACAGGCAGUGAAAGUGGUGAUCUGGGGUCUGGAGGCAGUUUUUAUUUUAUGAUUGGACACUGCACUUGAAGCCAUGAGAAAAAGAGUGGCCUAGAAGAGCUUUAAAAUAAGUAAAAAUCAAAACAGCAGCAACAGCAGCAGCUUAAUCCAGCUAUAAAAAUUUGCAGGAAGAGAAACAAUGUGCGUUUGUAUUAAUCAUGGCAGCUACAGUAACCAUAACACACAGGAGAGAGAGAGAAAUAGUGAAGACAGGGAGAGCGAAAGAGAUUGUGAGGUAGCAGAAAGAGAGAGAUACAAGGAGAGAGGGAGAGGAGGAGGAGGAGAAAGAGAGUCGUUUUAUCAGUUAGGGAGCCAUUUGAUUAGUUAGGAGGUUAUUGUGUUAGCUUGGGGGUUAGAGAGUGUUAGAGACAAAUGGGAUCCUCUUUAGUGAGGGUCCUGGUUGCGUGUGGGCCCCUAAGGCACCCCCGCUGGGAGAAUUCUUGUCGGGCAUGGCCCAAGCCUUAACUGUUAGGCCCCAGGAUCGUGUUAGGCUGCUUGGGCCAAUUGGGGCGGUUGGCGCGAUUCCUGGGGCCUAUAAAAGCGGCAGCGCAAUGUAACUGGGGGCGCUUGCUUCGCUCUGCCGAACACCCACUCUCCCUCCCUAAUUUUAGGUGCUUUUGCUUUGGCCUUGCUUUGGAUUGGGUCACCUGCUUUGGAGCAGGGGCUGGGUAGGAUUUUUUUCCAUUUGGCAGAUUGGCUGUAGCCUCUUGGUUUUUGCCUACCCCCUUAGCAAUCGUCACAACUUUGUAAGGUUUGGCGGUUGGGCAUUGGCUUAUUGAAGUGUGUGGGAGGGGAGGUGCAGCCAUCACCUGCCCCUCCAUGAAUAAGGGUAUUCCAGUAAAGGAAUCUGGGGGUCUUGGAUCUUGUCCGAAGUCCUCUUGAGGGGCUAGGGCCAUGCCAGGACCACAGGAACCCCGGGGUGAGCUUCGGUCGGACUUCAUCGAUGUUGCUCCCUCGUUUGGUGUUUACCCUUCAGACUUCCAGCCAGAGCGGCAGGAGUCAGUUAUAGUCUGUUGCCCAUGCCUAAGCCAAUACCGCUCACUUUGCUGUAAUCAAUAAAGUUGUGGCCUAAAUUUUGCCCAAUAACUUAAACUAAAGUUACUUGUCAAUAUGAAGUUAUUUUCAGGGGAAGGGCUUGGGGGCCUCGAAGCGCAAUGCCAUUUUCUUAGCUAAAAAUUCAUUUUAUUAGUUAGGGGGUUAUAGCACAUUGGAGGAGUAAGUAGGGUUUCAUAGUACUUUUUACUAGUGAAAUUACUAUCAAGAAUAAGAGCUCUUUGGGACAACCCAGCCACAGUCAUGGCUUGAUUAUUCUCAAAUGGUUAUGUUCAGGACCAGUUUAAAUGCUUCAAGUGGCUUGCCUUUUCGUCUUGUGGCUAUGAUUACAAGAAGGCCGUCUCCAGGUUUCGGAGAGUCGUUUGACAGUAUUUACACACUGGGUCCUACGCCUGCCCACAAGUUGCUCAUGAUAGCAAUUUCUUGCCAAGUGGAGGUGUCAGAUGCCCCAGGUGCUACAACCCAGGAAACCUGCCAUUUUCAGUCUCUCUCCAUGUCUCUAGAGUUCAGUUCCUAACAGUUACAAAACUGUGAUUUUUUAAAAAUAGUCCUUCUGAAAAUUCACCAGCAUUUAAAUGCAAAUUUCUCAUAAUAUUUGUGUAUGGAAUUUUGCCUAAUAUUCACAUUGGUGAAAAUCCAUUGUCCCUCAUUGAUAGCAUUUUUGCAUAUACCCUCCCCAAUAUAUGUAUUUUAGUUGGCUAAAUAAUUGCCUUGCAAAAUUCAGAGAAGUGAUGAUUUCAAAGGUUUUCUCUGUUUUGGUUUGUGUAUUGUUUCGGAACAUGCAGACUAGGUAGUUUAGGUAGUUUCACCUUUAAAUGAGAACUCAGUCAACUUUCUUUCCCAUCCCUGUGCUCAACACAGCAAGUAUCCUGUCUAAACCGUCCUGAGUUAUACAAGUUGGGAUGUGGUUCGGAAUGGUUUCAUAGCAAACCCCCCUCCACCCACCCACCCACAUUUAUCCAUUGACUGAAGGGGUUAGUUUUGUGUAGAAUAUCAGAUCCAGAGAACCAUUAAUGAGUGAGCACAGUAGAAGUGGAAAGUAAAAUUGCGGUGAGUGGGAAGAUGACCAUUCUGUACGUCUCUCUGAUUGAAUGUGUUUAUCCUUCUGCUGUGUAUUUACUUAGCAACUUCUUCUGUUCACUAGAUAAUGGCAUGGAUUUACUUUAAGCUACUCUAAUAUGGGUUUAACACAUUCCCAGUAGUGACUCAAAUUGCUUCUCAGAAUAUAAUAUAGCAAUCCGGGGAGGCUAUGUUGAACUGCAUGGCAUUGGUGCCCUUUUUUUGACUCGCUUCAGUGAUAGUCACUUUGCUGGGCAGUAAUAACUUAAAAUGGCUUGGAUAAUCACACGCGUUCCAGCCAGCAUCAACAUGACAUCAUAAAUCUGUUGCAUUUGCAGUAUAUAGGCUGGCCGAAGUAUUUCCACUUUCUUGUGGAGUGGGGUCAGAAACUAUGGAAAAUGAGGCCGUCCAAAUUUGGAAACUGUAUGCAGUUGAGGAUCUGCGCAGAAGAACAUAGAAGCAGCAUUCUGAAGUGAGAAGGACCAUAUCUUAAUGAUACAGCCCAUGAUUUGUCCCCCCAACACCACCAGUUUCUGGACAGGGACAACCUGAUUGCAGUACUGGUAACCUCAAGACAGGACCUCUGCUCUAAGCUCUAUGUGGGGUUACCUUUAGGUCUAAUCUGGAAGCUUCAGCUACUGCAGAAUGCUGCAAGUUGUCUGGUGAUGGGAACAGGGUACCGCCAACAAAUAACAUCAAUGUCAAAAGGCCUGCAUUGGCCUCCCAUCUACCACCAAAUAAGGUUCAGGGUCCUUGUAUUAGUGUACAAAGCUCUGAACAACUUAGGCCCAGGAUAUUGCCCCUUACAUCCCAAGCAAAUCAGUGAUGGGGGGGGGGGCACUAUUUGUUGUCCGCCAUGGUCCAGAAGCACGACUCGGAUCACCAAGGAGUCAUGUUAGUGGACCAAACUCUAGGGAACUCCUUCCCAGUAGAAACCAGGCAGGCAUCUUCACUGAAAAGAUUCAGAUGUCAGGUCAAAACAGUUUUAUUUCAGGAGGACUUGACUCCAGGAGGAUUUUGCUCUAGUAUUCUUAUUUUCUGAAGUUUAAAUCUAUGUUUCAAAUUCUGUACGCAUUGUGUAAGCCGCAUUGACAAGUGUUUCAAAUUCUGUGCACGUCAUGUAAGUAUAUUUUGUAAAAAAAGAAAAGAAAUAGAUAGGAUUAGACAGCAGGUAAUGAGAAAGUCCUCUGUCUGAGGCAAUGAAGACAGUUACUAGUCACAGGAUACAAUACUGAAGCUAGUCCGACCUGGUUUAAGACAGCUUUCUAUGUAUCUUAAGUGGAGCUUGGUUGUGCAAUAGCACAACCCUGAUGCUUACUUCCUGGGAAGCCCAGCAUUGCCUUUUCAACACAGGAAGCAAAGCAAAGCAGAAGGCAAAGCUUUAAGAAUGUACUGGACAAUCUUUUUGGGCCUUUGGUCUCUCACAGUACUUUGCUAGUCUGGCACAGGAGCCCAUGGAUCCAAUGAGACACACACAUCUUCAGUCCAAAGGGUUGACCCUUUAAGAGAAUCUAGUGGUCCACUCAAGGGGACAGAGCACAGAAGAGGUAGACUGGAGGCAGUGGCUCAAAAGUCCCAGCUUUACUUCCAGCCAGCACGGGGAGCUCUCCUUGGAGCUGUGAGAACCAACCCACCUUGGCUCAUGGGCUCCUCCUUGGGACCAGAACGAAGGAGUUAUCCUUGGUUUAAACUAGGGUUUGUUGGGGAAAAAACCAUGUUAAGGAACCAUUGUUUGAUCCUGGCUAUAAUGAGCCACAGUUUAAACUAACUACAGUUUGUUGUAGUUAGCUGUAGCAACAAAUAAUGGCUAGUUUAACCCUGGAAGCCCUGCUUCUGAUCUCUUUGUCAUGGCUGCAUCAGAGGAAAGGGAAGAAGACGGUGUCCAAGGCUGCAAUUCACCCAAGUGCCUUCCUAUACUGCUAAAUCAGACAUAGGCAAACUCAGCCCUCCAGAUGUUUUGGGACUACAACUCUCAUCAUCCCUAGCUAACAGGACCAGUGGUCAGGGAUGAUGGGAACUGUAGUUUGCCUAUGCCUGCACUAAAUCAUGUCCUUGAGAAAUACAAGCUUUGUGAAUUCCAGUAUGAACUAAUCUGAUCCAUAGCUCCCACACGAAUAUGCAAUUGGAAUGUAACUAUUCAUUAGAUUUCACUCUGUGUGUGAAUGGAAAGACGUGUUUUGAUGGGCUGCGUAGAUGUGAAUGGAUGGAUUUGCGUGGUGAGUUCCCAUCCUCCCCCAGUGGAAAUAAAGACACACGACACAAUUAAUUAAGGUUAAUGGGCUAAAUAAGGCCACAACUUUAUUGGUUACAGGUGAUGAGAGGUAUUGGCAUAGGCAUUGGUCCUAACCGACUAUCUGGCUUCAGCCUGUUCGCUUGAAGUCUGGGAAGGGUUAACCACCAGUAGGGGGAGUCCUGCUGUUGCACAUCAACUAGGAUCUCCCCCGGGGUCACCGCUCGGGGGCGUGCCUUAGGCCCUCACCACCAUAGACUUUGGACAGGGCCACGCCCCCCAGAAUCCUUUAUCGGACUACCCUUCAAUAUGCAGGGGAGGUGAUGGCGCUUCCUCCCCCCUUCAUCUACACAACAAUACCUAUACCAAUGCCUAACUGCCAAUACCAAGGACGUUGUGACGAUUUGCUACGAGGUAGGCGAAAAACCAAGUGGCUGGUGCCAAUUUGCUAAGUGGGAAAAAUUCCUACCAGGCCCCUUAACGGCGACCAACCAAGGUCUAUAGCAAGGUCAAAGACAAAACCUUAAAGGGUGGGUGGGUGGGAAACCGGAGCAGUUGGAAGCGGCAAAAGAGGGAGAUCCCUGGCCGCCCCUGCGUUAAAUUGGGCAGGCCACACCCCCGAGCCAGCCGAUUGGCUGUCCAGGGGAUGAUGCGGCUGGGGAUUCCCCUGAUCGCUCGGGGGCUGGGCUCCAGCCGCCGCGUGCGUGGUGGGGCUGUGAUGCCCAUAAUCCCACCUCCUCUGCAGGGCGGAAGUGGCUUUGUGUAACUGAGUUGUGUAUGAGUGUGUGUGAACAAAUGAAAUAUUUAUAUGGCUUUGACUCCACCUACUUUUGAUCCCACCCACUUUUUGAUUGGGUCACUCCCACUGUUGGCUUGCAGCCCUCAGAAAGUUACACACAAGGGAAUGUGGCCUUUGGUUUGAAAAAGCUUCCUUGCCUCUGAUCUCACCAGACAAACUAGACUUACAAGCCAGGAUACAACAUGUCAAGAGCCUGAAGCAACCUUCCACCUCUGUGCAUUCUAGAUUUAAUCAGGUUUCACAAGCAGGUAUACAAGCAAUUUACCUGUAGUACAUUUAAGACAUGGGGUAUUGUUUGUAAUAUGUUGUUAAAUAUUCUUCCCCCCUUUACCUUUUAUUUCCUUAGGCAAAACAUUUAUCCUGAGGUUUGCAGCUAUUCUCAUAAAAUGAGCAUCUAACAUUUCAUUCAGCUAUGCAAACGAAGAAGGGAUGAAUAAACAUUGCAUAUGAAUGCAAAAGAUACUUUGCAUUAUCACAUCAGACAUGGAGGAGGCAUAAAACGUUCCCAUAAUUAUUGUUGGCAUCUGUGAAUUUAUAGGAAAGAUGCAAAUUGGAGGAAAUGAGAAAGCAC